ACGUAAUAGAUACCCUGGUAGUCCACGCCCUAAACGAUGUCUACUAGUUGUUGGUGGAGUAAAAUCCAUGAGUAAACGCAGCUAAACGCGUGAAGUAGACCGCCUGGGGAGUACGGUCGCAAGAUUAAAACUCAAAGGAAUUGACGGGGGCCCGGCACAAGCGGUGGAUUAUGUGGAUUAAAUUCGAUGCAACGCGAAAAACCUUAACCUGGCCUUGACAUGCCACUAACGAAGCAGAGAUGCAUUAGGUGCCCGUAAGGGAAAGUGGACACAGGUGCUGCAUGGCUGUCGUCAGCUCGUGUCGUGAGAUGUUGGGUUAAGUCCCGCAACGAGCGCAACCCUUGCCAUUAAUUGCCAUCAUUUAGUUGGGCACUUUAAU
rnacentral:rRNA from 1 species